UAUAUUAUUUUUAUAUAUAAAAGGACAAGGUAAGAAAUCGGGGAAGAAGAUGAGGGUUUCGAAAAUUGUGUGAAUCUUCACAGUAGAGUUAAUAUUUAAUUUCUGAAUGCCUUCCAAUUCCGGUCAAGCCCCUCUCUUUUGAUCUGUAUUAAUAUAUCUACAAACUAGUAAUUGGCAAAUAGAGGUAUAUCCAUUUAAUUGUUGAAGAAUAUCAGAAGAAGAAUUAAGGGAAAUGGAUUUGGAUAAUUGGAUAGCGAACGUUAAAGAGGGUCAGCACUUGUCUGAAGAUGAGCUUCAACUCCUCUGCGAAUAUGUUAAGGAGAUAUUGAUUGAGGAGUCAAAUGUUCAGCCUGUAAAUUGUCCUGUGACAAUAUGUGGGGACAUCCACGGACAGUUCCAUGAUUUGAUGAAACUCUUUCAGACUGGAGGUCAUGUACCGGAGACAAAUUACAUUUUUAUGGGAGAUUUUGUUGACCGUGGUUACAAUAGCCUAGAAGUUUUCACAAUUCUUUUGCUUCUCAAAGCAAGAUACCCAGCUAAUAUUACUCUCCUACGUGGAAAUCAUGAAAGCAGGCAAUUGACUCAGGUCUAUGGAUUUUAUGAUGAAUGUCAAAGGAAGUAUGGAAAUGCAAAUGCUUGGCGGUAUUGCACAGAUGUUUUUGACUAUCUAACUCUUUCAGCAAUUAUUGAUGGAACGGUACUUUGUGUGCACGGCGGGUUAUCCCCAGAUGUUAGAACUAUCGAUCAGAUUCGAGUUAUUGAUCGGAACUGUGAAAUCCCCCAUGAAGGGCCUUUCUGUGACCUAAUGUGGAGUGAUCCUGAAGAUAUUGAGACAUGGGCUGUGAGUCCUAGAGGAGCAGGCUGGCUUUUUGGGUCCAGGGUUACUUCUGAGUUCAAUCACAUUAACAAACUUGAUCUAGUUUGCCGAGCCCACCAACUUGUACAAGAAGGUCUGAAGUACAUGUUUCAAGAUAAAGGACUUGUAACUGUGUGGUCUGCUCCAAACUAUUGUUACCGUUGCGGAAAUGUUGCCUCGAUAUUAAGCUUCAAUGAGAAUAUGGAGAGAGAGGUGAAGUUCUUCACAGAGACCGAGGAGAACAACCAGAUGCGAGGACCCAGGACUGGAGUACCCUAUUUUCUAUGAUUGAAACUUGAUUCCACUUACAUUUCAGAUAUAACUUUGGCACCCAGUACUACGAACUGCAUUUGGUGUAGAGGCUAAGGAAGAAUGAGUGGAGAAACGUUCACUAGAUUCUAACAUGUCAGUGCUGAAGUAUAAAUUAUGUAAACCUUGGUGAAUAUUACUACAGAUGGUUCUGAUGUUCAGUUGCUCACAUUGGUUAACACCCAUGCUUGCUUGUGAUAAUAGUUUUGUUAGCCGUAUCAGUGAAAGGUUUAACACUUCUACUGUAAUUUUGAGGAUGAAUUAAUUAACUUAAGGAAGAUUUUGAAGAUGGAGACUGUGCCACGCUGGAGGAAUAUGAAACGAAGUUCAGAAAACACAGUUUAAAUUAGAACCUCUGCCUUCCUCUGUAGGUUUGGAGUUCGAGUCUUUUGAGGAAGCUUAUGAGGGAUUGAGUGCAUUUUUUGAUGGUUAUGUACACAAACACAUAUCUUUUAAGGAUUUUUUUGAUAAUAUGAUCUAGCUCUUCGAAGAAA